UCAGGCAGGAGUAAGGGCUGUGAGUAAGCAAAGGGAUUCUUCUUACACAUUGAGGAGAAUGAGUGCUCAGUCCUGACACUGGGCAUGCACCUGACUCAAGUUCAAGUUCCAAAUAUGUAUCAGCUCCUACUACGUGCUACAGGAGAGCAGUGGAAUUCUGGGGGCUGGAGAAAUUCGGGCAGCUGGCAGAUGAACUUUUAAGCACUGCUAUGGAAGACCCCAGCCUCCCCUCUCUGUCUUGCUGGCCUCAAAGAGGGGAUGAGGACACACUCAGAGCAGCUGGAGAUUUCUGUGGAGCCAGACUGCAGAGGUGACCAUGAGGAAGGGAAUGCAGAUGAAACAGGAAAAGAUACCAUUGCAAGGAGCUGAGCUUGAUGGUGGUUUGGGUAACCCCACCCUGGAUGGAGCAGUCUCCUGCAAGGAAUUAUGUUGCUCCCAGCUGGCUGGUUCAGCUCUCCUGCAGAGGGUUC